UACGUAGGGUGCGAGCGUUGUCCGGAAUUACUGGGCGUAAAGAGCUCGUAGGUGGUUUGUCGCGUCGUCUGUGAAAUUCCUGGGCUUAACUUCGGUCGUGCAGGCGAUACGGGCAAUACUUGAGUGCUGUAGGGGAGACUGGAAUUCCUGGUGUAGCGGUGGAAUGCGCAGAUAUCAGGAGGAACACCGAUGGCGAAGGCAGGUCUCUGGGCAGUAACUGACGCUGAGGAGCGAAAGCGUGGGGAGCGAACAGGAUUAGA
rnacentral:rRNA from 1 species